AGCUCGAUAGCGCAACGGUAGCGCGUCACUGUCCACUUGGCUUUUUCCAUGAAUCCAAUAAUGGUUGACAUGAAGAUCUCGGUUCGACUCCGAGUUGAGCUA